UGAAUGAGCCCAGCGGGAUGCGCCCUCUCACCCCCCAUGGGCUCUGCAAAUUGCUUCCUCCUGUGGAAAUCUUCAUCCUCCUCCCCAGCCUGGCAGGGUGUGGCCCCUUGGCAGGGUCCCCCUGGGGUCCUUGGGCUGGAGGUGGGGGAGACAGACACCAUCCCCACCCCCUCCUCCGAGCCCAGAAUGGGCCGACCGGCCGGCUUCCAGGGUAGGAGCCUCUGGCAGCUGGAGAACAGCUGGCGGGUGGCAGGCAGCGGAGAGGGAGGCUGGGGGGGUGGGGAGGCUGCAGGCCUCCUCUUUCCCAUCCUUCACCCCAUGGCUCGGUGCCCAGGGCAGGCCCGGGAUGCCCAGGGGACUGUGGGGUUCUCUGUCUUCCUGCCACCUUGAGCAGUACCGCCUCAAAGCCGGAGCACCUGGGCCAGGGUCCCUGCAGGGGUGGGUGGUAGCUGCCUGCAGGGCCUGAUAAGGCCCCAGUUCAGCCUUGGCUCCCCAUGGGGCUGCAGAGGUGCCGCCUGCCAGGUCACCUUGUCCCAUCUAUGUCCCCCCACUGUGGCAGCUGCUCAGGGGAACCCCACACUUCAGGUUGGUGCCCCAUCCCCCUCAAAAGGGAGCUCUGGGGGCUGGGUGGUCUGGAGUCUGGGGCCUCUGGGGUCUGGGGGGCCAGGACCUCUGUAGCAGCCCCCAACUCUGGCCUCCAUUCCUGGAGCCAUCUGGCCAGUUCUGCCAGCAGACCCGGGGGGGGGCAGCGAGGCACCCCGUAUCUCCCCAGAGCUCGGCCUGCUCUCCCAGCCUUCCGAGACCCUGACCCUGCCACCACUCAGUGGUACUUCUGACCCCAGAAGGCUGAGGCCUGGGAGCCAGGCUUAGGUGUGCCGGCCGGCCGAGGUGGGACAGGUGAGUGGCAGGCGCCCUGUGGCGCUCCCUCACACCCCGCCCUCCUGGCGGCUCUCUGUCCUCAUCCACGUGUCUCCUACUUCUGCUCCUGCCAUUCCACUGCCUGUCUCGCCAGCAUCCCCUCUGUCCCUUUACCCCUCUGCUGCCUGUGUUGGGGCUCUGCCUCUUUUGCUGGUCUCACCCCCUCCCCUUUGCUGUCUGUCUGUCUGUCUCCGCCCCUCCUGAGUCCCGGUGGCCCCCGCAGCUGUGAUCGCCACGUGUGAGCCAGGCUUGCAGGGGACGAAUGCAGGCCUGCGCUGCCGCUGCCGGGAGGGCUGCGUUUGGGGGUACCACCUAUGGGUCUUGGUGUGGGCCCCCCUGUGCCCAAGGGAGCCCCGGAAAGCCGGUGGUGCGGGUGCCCGGGGAGGCAGGGUCCCCACUGGACGACCUCGUGCGCCGGCCCUCGCCCCUCCCCCGACUGCCCUGUCCCGAGGCCGCCCCGCCCCC
rnacentral:lncRNA from 1 species